rnacentral:rRNA from 1 species
CCUAAGCCUAGGCCGAAAGGCGUAGGCGAUGGACUACAGUUUGAUAUUCCUGUACCUCCUCCUCACCAUUUGAGCAAUGGGGGGACGCAGGAGGAUAGGGUAAGCUCGGUAUUGGAUAUCCGCGUCCAAGCAGUUAUGCUGGGAAUUAGGCAAAUCCGUUUCCAGUGAAGGCUGAGCUGUGAUGGCGAGCGAAAUUUAGUAGCGAAG